rnacentral:tRNA from 1 species
GCCCAGAUGGCGGAAUUGGUAGACGCACCAGAUUUAGGUUCUGGCGCCGCGAGGCGUGGGGGUUCGAGUCCCUUUCUGGGCACCA